CAGCCAGUUUUACCGGCGCUAUUUCACGGCCGUCUCGCCACAAGGGGAGUGGCUCGCCUGGAUACCCUGCCAGCACCGCAUCACGCUGCUGGAGCAGCUGAUGCAGUGGCAGACCCCCGCCAUGACCGACGAGCAGUACCACUCCCACACCUGAAGCGCCGGUCACCGCUUUCUGAGUAAUGGUGCGUUUCACCAGCCAGCCGGGUCCUCCGCUGGCUUUUUU
rnacentral:sRNA from 1 species